rnacentral:tRNA from 1 species
CCAGUAGCUCAGUGGUAGAGCAAUCGGCUCAUAACCGAUUGGUCGCAGGUUCGAACCCUGCCUGGCC